GCCAGGCGCAAUGGCACGUGUGUAGUCCCAACUACUUGGGAGGCUGAGGCUGGAGGAUCGCUUGGGUCCAGAAGUUCUGGGCUGUAGUGUGCUAUGCCAAUCAAGUGUACGCACUAAGUUCAGCAUCAAUAUGGUGACCUCCCGGGAGCAGGGGACCACCAGGUUGCCUAAGGGGUGAACUGGCCCAAGUCAGAAAUGGAGCAGGUCAAAACUCCCGUGCUGAUUAGUAGUGGGAUCCCGCCUGUGAAUAGCCACUGCACUCCAGACUGGGCAACAUAGCGAGACCCCAUCUUUU
ensembl:misc_RNA Metazoa_SRP Metazoan signal recognition particle RNA